rnacentral:misc_RNA from 1 species
CGAAGAAGUAAAACUGACUCAUACGUAAAACCGAGGAGAAAAGGAAAUAUACAUAGUCGAAGGGCUUAAAGCAGUAAGGACGAUCAAGUUCUCUCUAGGGUACCUGGAAGAGAGGUAAAACUGUAAAGGGAGUCAAGGGACGAGAUCACGAGACGGGUCGGCGAUACGAGUGAUAGAGUUUCUGUGAAGGGCCGGUCGAAGGGCGAGUCCUUCAAUCUGUUCUGCUCUACUCGAGAAUCCUUCUUCGUCUGGUAUACAGAGGCGAAAGGGAUGGCCGAUGGGCAGAACAAUACCUCUUACCCGCUUCACGAAUCCGUUUUUAAUGGCUACGUCAAAAAGCUCUCUGGGCUUCUGAGGACCAACAAUGUCGAGAAAAAGGACAAACACGGAAAUACUGCUCUUCAUUUGGCUGUGAUGCUUGGACGUAAAGAAUGUGUUCAACUUUUGCUUGCUCACAAUGCUCCGGUCCGUGUUAAAAAUCUAGCUGGAUGGAGUCCUUUGGCAGAAGCGAUCAGCUAUGGUGACAGACAAACAAUUGUGUCAUUAGUUAGAAAAUUGAAAUCACAAAGACGGGAACAUAUAGAAAAGAGACGACCUAGCUUAGUGGAAGCUUUAAAACAGAUGGGUGAUUUUUAUAUGGAACUCAAAUGGGAUUUUACUAGUUGGGUGCCAUUAGUGUCCAGAGUUCUUCCUUCUGACAUAUGCAAAAUUCACAAAAAAGGGUCUUGCAUACGCCUGGAUUCAACCUUGGUCGAUUUUAACGAUAUGAGAUGGGAAAGAGGUGAUGUCAGCUUUCUAUUCAUCGGCCAUGUGAAACCAUCAGAAGCUCUUACCAUUUUAGAUAAUAAGGAAGGACUAUAUCAAAGAGUACGGUAUGAGGAAACAGAGACGGAGAUUGAGGAUGAAGUAGAUAUUUUAAUGAGCAGUGAUAUAAUGGCUGCUCAGAUGUCAACAAAAUCAAUUACUUUUACGAAAGCACAAUCUGGUUGGUUCUUCCGUGAAGAUAGAAAGGAAACAGUUGGAACUUUUGAAGCAGAUGUGUAUGAUGUGAAUGGAAUGGUGCUUGAAUCCCGCAAAAGGAGGGAACAUCUGUCUGAAGAGGAUCUUCAAAAAAACAAAGCGAUUAUGGAAAAACUGACUAAAGGCAACACCCCAAUUAUCGACUGCAAUGGGGAAGUCUUAGGGCGUAGAAGUUCUCUAACACCUCCUGCCAACCCCAGGGUAAGUUGGGAGGAGUAUAUCAACAGUGAACCAGGUGAAUAUCCAACACUCGGAAGGAAACUUGUUCACAAAGAGACCACCAAAGCCUUUAGAGCUACAGUAGCAAUGAGUCCUAACUUUCCAUUGUCGGUGAGCAUGCUGUUAGAUGUAUUGGAAGUAAUAGGGCCUUUUAAACAUUUUAACAAAUUAAGGGAGUUCAUCCAGAUCAAACUGCCACCUGGUUUUCCAGUGAAAAUAGAAAUACCUAUAUUACCCACUGUCACUGCAAAAAUAACAUUCCAAGAUUUUGAAUUUAAGGAUGAAAUCGACUCUAAGAUAUUUGAGAUCCCUCCGUAUUAUGUAGAAGAUCAAAACAGGUUUCCAGACAUAUGACCUGCACAGAGCGUCUGGUUAACAGAAUCAGGGAUCGAGUUUGAACUUUCUCCAAUGUACACCUGCCUUAUAGUUAUACAAGAAUGAGUGUUUAUUAUUAUCGGAAAUGUACUUUUUAUUUUUUAUGGAGGAAACAGUCUCAAAUUUGCCCCCAUCCUUCCAUUCGAAAACCGGUGUGACAAAAAAUAUAUAGAAAUCAAAUUGUGGACUUUUUAAAUAGGCGUUUAAACAAGUUGAAUUUCUAACAAUAUGUGUUUGUGUGUGGGCUUUGUGUAAAUUUAUGUACAGGAUUCUCGCUGAACUAAGUAGGAAACAUUAAUGUUACCCAAUACACUUAUCAAAGGAGGAUAAAAAUACUUGAAGAAAUGAAAUAAUAUUCAUAAAAGUAGGUGUUAAUUUUGGGAUUAUUUAUAUUUUCUUCUUCUUUUAUUUAUUAUUAGUUUUUAAAAGCACUUGUGAUUUUAUUGUCCAAUAAUAAAAAAUAAAUGAUGUCGAGUCUCUUGAUAGAAAGCAUUCAGCAAAAUUUUCUUUAAAAGAAUAAUUUUUGUAUUAAAUUAUUUGAAAAUGUAAUACCUUUAUGUGUUUGUUUUUAACAAUAAAAAAAAAGCAAAAUGAUACUGGAAAUGUUAGUUGUCUUGUGAUGUUGAAAAUGGUCUUGUAUUAAGAUUUAUUUCAAAAAGUUAAAUUAAUACAUAAUUAUACAAAAAUAUAUAUCAAACAUUGCAAUCAAAUCAUUAUUACAUAUGUAAUUAGAUUAUUCGUGAAUGUUCCCCAGUUAUAUCGUCAAAAUAUAAGGCAGAGUUUUUAUUAGUAAAAGGGCAGUUAGCCGACUAGCUCAAGAUUAAUCCCGCCCUUUUUUUGUCUAGUCAUGUCAAAACUACAUUUUUGAUCAAUAUUAAUCUAUUAUUUUUAGUACUGGGUGCAUUGUGGUCAAUUUUUUAUUGUACUGGGAUAUUGCAAAUUGUCAAAAAUAAAAGUGGCAUUUCUUCGAAAGUUGAAAACUUAAGAUGCUGAGUUGUGGAAAUUAAUUAUCGGUGUUUUUUCAUUUAGAUGUCCUUGUCCAUUUGAAUGA